rnacentral:rRNA from 1 species
AUUGAACGCUGGCGGCAUGCCUAACACAUGCAAGUCGAACGGCAGCGCGGGGGCAACCCUGGCGGCGAGUGGCGGACGGGUGAGGAAUGCAUAGGAAUCUGCCCGGUUGUGGGGGAUAACGUAGGAAAACUUACGCUAUUACCCCAUACGCCCUCCGGUGGAAAGGGGGGGACCUUCGGGCCCCACCCGACCGGUUGAGCCUAUGCCCGAUUAGCUAGUUGGCGGGGUAAGAGCCCACCAAGGCGACGAUCGGUAGCUGGUCUGAGAGGAUGAUCAGCCACACUGGGACUGAGACACGGCCCAGACUCCUACGGGAGGCAGCAGUGGGGAAUAUUGGACAAUGGGCGCAAGCCUGAUCCAGCAAUGCCGCGUGUGUGAAGAAGGCCUUCGGGUUGUAAAGCACUUUUGUUCGGGAAGAAAUCCGUGUGGUUAAUACCCGUACGGGAUGACGGUACCGAAAGAAUAAGCACCGGCUAACUUCGUG